rnacentral:rRNA from 1 species
AGCGAACGCUGGCGGCAGGCCUAACACAUGCAAGUCGAACGAACUCUUCGGAGUUAGUGGCGGACGGGUGAGUAACACGUGGGAACGUGCCUUUAGGUUCGGAAUAACUCAGGGAAACUUGUGCUAAUACCGAAUGUGCCCUUCGGGGGAAAGAUUUAUCGCCUUUAGAGCGGCCCGCGUCUGAUUAGCUAGUUGGUGAGGUAAAGGCUCACCAAGGCGACGAUCAGUAGCUGGUCUGAGAGGAUGAUCAGCCACAUUGGGACUGAGACACGGCCCAAACUCCUACGGGAGGCAGCAGUGGGGAAUCUUGCGCAAUGGGCGAAAGCCUGACGCAGCCAUGCCGCGUGAAUGAUGAAGGUCUUAGGAUUGUAAAAUUCUUUCACCGGGGACGAUAAUGACGGUACCCGGAGAAGAAGCCCCGGCUAACUUCGUGCCAGCCGCCGCCGUAAUAC